rnacentral:lncRNA from 1 species
UUAGGCUUGGCCACAAGAGAAUCUUGUGUGAUAUUGAAAAUGUGGAUGUGAAGCAGCAGCCAUGAUUCUGAGUAUCCUUUGCUGACACUCCCAUGUGGCUUUGUGUAGAACAAUGAUCCAUAGCCAGGAUGCCCACAGAAAUAUUGCUGUCUGCCUCAAGGAUUUACAUGCGUGCACCACGGCUCUUGUUCCUGCAAAUGAAGUUCUGCAACUGAGGUCACCUUCAGCAGUAAAAGAAAGAAAAAAGGCCGGGCGCUGUGGCUUAUGCCUGUAAUCUCAGCACUUUGGGAGGCCGAGGCAGGCGGAUCACGAGGUCAGGAGAUCGAGACCAUCCUGGCUAGCACAGUGAAACCCCGUCUCUACUAAGAAUACAAAAAAUUAGCCUGGCGUUGUGGCGGGUGCCUGUAGUCCCGGCUGCUCAGGAGGCUGAGGCAGGAGAACGGGUGAACCCGGGAGGUGGAGCUUGCAGUGAGCCGAGAUCGUGCUACUGCACUCCAGCCUGGGCGACAGAGCCAGACUCCGUCUCAAAAAAAAAAAAAGAAAGAAAAGGAAACACCUUUAUUCCAGAGGUUCCUUUUCCUGGUGUCCUAACCAGAAAUAGAUUGAUACUGUCGUACCUCAAUUCACUGUAUAGCACUGCAGAGGGCUGCAUUUAUGACAAAUCUGGAUGACAAAAUAAUAAUAAUAAUAAUAAUAAUAAUAAUAAUAAUAAUAAUGAAAUGGGAAAUAAUAAUGAAAUAAUAAUAAUAACAAUAAUAAUGAAAUGGGAAUAAUGAAAUAAUAAUGAAACGUUCCCUUGCCCCCCUUACCCCCUCGCUGCGGGGCAUAUGAUGGGGGUGUGGUUCGCUUCUUAGGCGCCCAUCUGCUCAAACCUCUAGGGGGAGCAUGCAGACAGGCAGCUUGUGGGGCUCCGACCUCAGGGCAGUGUCUAGGGCUGAAUGUUUACAGCUGAAGCUCCAGCGGGGGUGUGUUACAGUGUGCUCUUACAGUUUAGCCAUCCAUGGUCUGCUUGUGUUUAUCAGCUCAAUUAGACCCUCUGCCUUAUCACAAGGAGAGAAGGCUUUCUGCAUCCUGGGGCUCUUACCCUAGUGAACCGGAAAAAUCGGAUCACACGUGGGCUUGGAGAAGGAGUGCAAGGUUUUUUAUUGAGUGUCUGCUGGUGUCUGCCUAUGUGUUCUUCUGCCGUGUGCUCCUUUCGACGUCCUCUCGAUGUCCAGCCACUUGUGUGUUCUUCUGCCGCUGUGUUCCUCUGGUUGUCCAGCUGCUGUGUCUCUGCCCAGAUUUCUUCCUUCUAGGUGUGAGGCAGGACCCUCUCUGGGAUCAGUCUUAUGAUCUACAGCCAAACAAGAACUACAAAUGCCUGCCAGGGGUGUUGGAGAAGAAGUUUUAAAAGUGGGAACAAGAGCUUUUAGCCAUUAAAUAAUGAUGAUUGUUACAUGACUAUUGAAUGAUUUACUUUUUAUUAAAAUCUGUAUUAAAAUUUCUGUAACUUAAAUUUUAAUUUCUUAGUGACAGAUGAAGAAAUUGAGGCAUCAGAAAGAUAAUUGAGUUACCAAAGUGGACACAGCUAGAAAGUAAGAUCAUCUAGUCCUGCUUUCUCUUCCUCAAAGCCCAGUCUGGUAACUGCUGCAUGGCUUUAUCUGCACCUGAUGAAUAUAAAUCUCAGUUUUUUAUUCUUAAAGGUUGAAUAUUGAGAUAUCUUAAGCACACCAUUUUAUGUCUGGGAAGAACAAUAAACGCAAGCUUUAAACUAAUUUGAUGCUUCAGAAUGAUAAAGGAAUGGAGCAAAUAAAAA